rnacentral:tRNA from 1 species
GGGGAUUUAGCUCAGCGGCAUAAGCGCCUGCCUUGCAAGCAGGCAGGCAUGAGUUCGAUCCUCAGUAUUGACA